AUUUAAAAAAAAAUAUUAAAAUACUAAUUAAAAAAUACUAAAAAAAUCAAAUUACAAAAAUACUAAAAUUCAAAUUAUUUUAUUAAUUAAAAAAAUACUAAAAUUAUUUUACUAAAUAUUACUAAAUAAUUAGUAAAUUAUUUUACUAAUUAUUUUACUAAAAUACUAAAAUCUCUCCAAAUUCUAUCUCUCUGUUAAAUCUAGAAACCAAAAGCAACAACCUCUCCAAAUUCUAUCUCUGUCAAAUCUAGAAACCCAAAAACAACAAUCCAAAUCAAAUCUAAAAUUAUGCAUCCAUUUCUUCUGGAUCUCCUUCUCUUUCUCCUAAUCCCCAUCUCCAAAAGCAACUCUCUACCCACCACCGCCGACCGAACUUCUGCCACCACCGCCGCCCUCCGCAACCAACUCUCUACCCACUUUUCGGCCAACAUUUUCUCUCGAUCUCAUCGUUCCCAACAAACCUUUUGAUGAUGAUGACGAAUACAAAAAUUAUGAUGAUGAUGAUGUUCGGGUUAAGGUUUGAGAUAGGAACGAGCCAUGAGGGUUUGAGAGAGCAACAACAAAAGGAGCAGAUCUGAUACGAAAAUUUUGGAUCUUCUUCUUCCUUUGUUCUUCGUUCUUCUAUCAUUAAUGAAUAUUUGAUUGCAAAUCCAGAUCUGAGUUUGAUACCUUCAUUAUUUGGAUGUUAGUUCGAAAAUAAAUGUUAAAAAUAUCCAGAUCUGAUUUAUUUUUCAAGAAUAAAAAUUUUCUCAAUCUAGAUCUAGAUUUCUGGUGUACUCAAAAUUUUUUGAUUUGAGAUUAUUGGUUGUGCUUCGAGUAAAAUUUCAGGUACUCGUUGAUAGUACUUUGGGCGGAGUGGGGGUUGGUGGUGGGUUGACGGUGGCGGAGUGUUGGUUGAUGGUGUUAGGAUUUUGCAAACUAGGAAUUCAUCAAGAGGAAGAAGACUGUAAUUUUUGAAUUAAUUAAUUCAAUUGGAUGAAUUUUUGUGACUUAUUUGUUGUUAAUAAAUUAAAUAUAAAUAUAAAUAUUUAUUCUGUU
rnacentral:lncRNA from 1 species